rnacentral:rRNA from 1 species
GACGAAUGCUGGCGGCGUGCCUAAUACAUGCAAGUUGAGCGCUGAAGGUUGGUACUUGUACCAACUGGAUGAGCAGCGAACGGGUGAGUAACGCGUGGGGAAUCUGCCUUUGAGCGGGGGACAACAUUUGGAAACGAAUGCUAAUACCGCAUAAAAACUUUAAACACAAGUUUUAAGUUUGAAAGAUGCAAUUGCAUCACUCAAAGAUGAUCCCGCGUUGUAUUAGCUAGUUGGUGAGGUAAAGGCUCACCAAGGCGAUGAUACAUAGCCGACCUGAGAGGGUGAUCGGCCACAUUGGGAUUGAGACACGGCCCAAACUCCUACGGGAGGCAGCAGUAGGGAAUCUUCGGCAAUGGACGAAAGUCUGACCGAGCAACGCCGCGUGAGUGAAGAAGGUUUUCGGAUCGUAAAACUCUGUUGGUAGAGAAGAACGUUGGUGAGAGUGGAAAGCUCAUCAAGUGACGGUAACUACCCAGAAAGGGACGGCUAACUACGUG